ACUUUUAAAGGAUAACAGUCAUCCAUUGGCCUUAGGAGCCAAAAAUAUU
rnacentral:tRNA from 1 species